rnacentral:rRNA from 1 species
UACUAUUCCCCCCUCUAACCAGCUUCUGCUAGCCCUUUUCCUAGUGUGCUAGAAGGGCACAAUGUUUAGGGUUUAGUUAGGGUUGAGGAAGGCCGAACCGAACCGAAACGAAGCGAAGGCGUACGGAGGAGGAGCAGCGGUAGAAGGGUUUGGGAUCGGGCGCGGCGGGAAAGGGGGCUUUGGGAUCUAGAGGGAUACCGGAGGCGGCGACGCCGCCGGGGUCAGCACCCGGUCCAGCACCUCGCCAAGGCGCGCGCCGACGCCCUCCUCCGCCCUCUCCUCGGCCCCCGCCGGCGCCACCACCCGCAGAUGUUCCUCCGGGAGCGGCUCGAGUGGAAGUUGACGUUCGGGUAGUAGUGGCUCGAGUGGUAGUAGCGCCCAGUCGUGCGGCGCGAGCGGCGGUCCCCGUAGCGGCUGCGGUAGACGCGGGCGUAGGAACUCCACGGUCAGCUCGUCUUUAACGGUAGAAACAUAGACGAUCUAUCAUAGCACUUCUUGUAUCCUGCUCUUAUACAUCUCCUGAAACGGUGAGCUAACGUCUUCCAUAAAACAAAACGUAUGUCCCUUCAAGUAGGGUUUGUCGUAGGACGUUACGCUGUGGAGAAGGCAUGGACCAGCGUUCACAAGGGAAGAAGACAGGAAGUUCCCUAGCUCCUACUCGAAGUCAAAAGAGGAAGUCUCUUAUUCACAGGACGGUGUUGCUGAUAAGGCGCUGUCAGUCUCAGCAAUAGAGGAUCCGGUAGAGUACCGUAGGUACAUUUAGGUCUCAUAGAUCUUCGCGUUGUGGUUGAGUUCUUGCCAUGGUUCCACCUAGUCGAUCGUUGAGCUCCGUCCGUUUACGAACUGCACCACCUCCUAGUAUAAUUACCCAAUUGUUGUUUAUCAAACGCCCCUAAAGGAAGGUGAAGAAGUUUCGAGGUCUCUAGAUACUAUGACAUAUGACUUUUAGGACUAGUUGUUCUUUGUAAAGUUAGUGCAUAACCUAACUAUUCUUCUCUAUACAGGUCUAGUGGUGGAGGACUACACGAGGGAUCCUUACGUAGGGGUUUUUCUGGUGAUCUCUACGGCGCCGACAGAGUAAGACAUAACCCCGUACUAGGAUCUUCUAACGGACUAUCUUUACCAACCAAACUUGCCGUUGCACGAAAACUCCUAUCACGUGUUGCUGGAAGCUACUCGUGCGAACUACUUCUUAUAUCCUUUGUUUCACGUUCUCUUGAAUAACUACGGAUGCCUUUAAGAGUUCCGUUACUACGACUACUAUCCGAAGGGUUCUACGUUGCCGAUCUUAGUUUACCGUACCGUUCAUCUAGGUCACGUGUUUUUACCGAGUGAAGUCUCCUUCUCCUCAUAUGAACCCUCCUAUACGCAGGUUGAAACAGGGUUUUAGCUUUGUUGUAAGGCAGAAAUGGAAGGAGACUUUGGAACUCUCGACCUAAAGGACCCGGUUUGUGACCCGUCGACCUAAGACUAUAUCCCUACGCGUCGACCGCUUCGGUCCGAGGAGCUGGUCGUGAUUUAGAGCUUCUGUCCUGACCAGUACAACUGUAUCGGUGAUCAUCCUCUAUAGGUCCGUUAAAACCAGAGGUGUUACCUCGAUAAAGUCUCAUGGUAUCAAGACUCUUAUGGGAACUAGGACCUUCUUAAGAACGAUACAGUCGAGGUGGCACCGUCGUCUGAUUACCGGACGGAAACGCUUAUGUUCGUGGAGUUGGAAGUAGUUGUGACUUAUCCAGCCGUGACGGGUGACUACAACUUUACGGACAGUUCUACAACCGGUGACCACCAGGUAUACUACGAUACGUACAUCUGAAUGGGAACUGAUUAUCCAGGAGCGGACGAGGACGAGGGUAUCUUACCGGAGAAGUAGUAGUAUCAGUUGGUGGUGUAUUAUGUUUUCUAUAAUCUCCACGUUGUCUAUCAGAACUUCAAUCCGGUAAAUAGUCCGUACCUCAGUUAAGUAGACAUAAACAAGGAGCCGUAGAUAUACUACGUAACCUAGCCUUUUGACAUUCAUGGCCAUUGAAUCGAGUUGGUGGUAUGGUCGUGGGUCUAAACAACAGUAGCUCAGUUGUUUUAGUUCCAUGUUUAAAACCUUUAGUUAGAGUCGGAGUACUACACGGUGUCAAAGUAGGAGUAAGGGUAAGGGUAGGAGGCCUCUGUAAAUCUUCGAAACGGGGGUCGUACGGAUAUCGAGGGGGGGUUUUAGCUAAGGUUCCUGUUCCUCCAUCACGUCGUCAUGGUGGUCAAUGUGGAGAUGGCUUGUGGAAAAGACAUUGUGGAUGACACGUUGGGAUACCACACAGAAGUCACAGAUCAAAACGAGACGGUGGUAAUGUAGCACCGGAUGGAGGACGAAGCAACGUCUACCCAGGUAGAAGUAGUGUUCAACCACCCGGAUGUUGUAUAAAGAGACCUUAAAAUUCAUUGGAAUACUUAGUACCACAUUAAUGUGACCUCGGAAGAUCAGUUGGAGUCCUGAGACAACCUCAACUGAAGUUACAUCUGGAGUUCCACACCUUACUCAGACAGUAAUUACGAGACAUAGUCCUAGAGGUGUCCGUUACGUUUUGCACACCUGAAGCAAAAUUUACGGUCCUUCUCGUGGCACGAGUAUACCUAACCGUACAAUGCUUUUUGUCUUUAAGGUUUUUAGCGUUCGUUAGAAGUGCAUUUAUAAAACAGUGUCACCCCCUUACCAAAUCUCGUCGUCUUUGUCAUCCUUUACUACCACAAGGAAGAAAGCUCGAGUGCCUUGGUUAGGGACUGUCUUUACUUCUCUUUCUUUACCGACAAGGACGGCUACUUUUGGUUUGUUGUACACGAAAUACAGUUCUCGGUAAACUCCUAAAGAUGUCGCUACUUUGACUUCUCACCUACAUGUUUCCACGUCAAAUGUACUUACGUGGACUACCAUUAUAACAACCAGAGGUUUCCAGCGUAAACCCCGGAUAACAGGUAAGGUUCACAGCUAGACCGGGGUCAUUAUAAAGAAUCCACCCGGAUCGACCUUGGGAACGGGGUAAUAAAGUCAAAGAAACCAACGCCGAUCUGUUCUGUACAUUUUAAUGACCUCUUUAGUCUAAAACACUACCUCGUACUCAUUGAACGAGACGUCAGCGGUGUCAACAGUGGACGACGAAAAUGUAAUUAUAUACCUUAGGAGAAUUAGAUCCUACUGUACGUUUGGGAAGUGCUUGUCCGCUUUGUUUGUACGAGGACGGGAAAAGAACAGGGGAAGGAGAGACGUUAGAGUAUACGUCCUGUUACAGUCGGGUACUCACGACCAUUGAAGGCUGUUUUGGGUCCUGCUUUCUUAUUUCCGUAGGCAGUUGUCGAGAGGAUAUGAUGAAUAUCUACUCGUUCUACAACGACAAUAAAAGAAACCAAACAGAAAGAAACGUGCAGAGACGUAACAUUGUCAAAGCACUGUGAUUUAAGAACCACCGCGUCUAGGGUGGGAUGACCUAACAAACGACAAUUUUUUUUCUUAGGCAAACUCG